ACUUGUUACCAUACCAUUUGGUAACAAUGAAUUACCUUAUUGAAGUGGGAUUUUCUGAAUCAAAGGUAGCCUUGGAAUAUAUUUAAAAACAAAACUUCAGCAUGACAAGGAGACAAGGAGGACACAAUGCUAAAGGCUUUAACAAAAGGUGGAGUUUUAUAUUGAAGAAUGAGUUGGAAAGGAGGAGAGAAGGGAGCAAAGAAGGCAUCAGCCAUUCUUGAAAUCAUUCAUUCAAUUUUGCAGAGGUUUUGGGAGCUUGGGAGCCAGAGAAGGAAGAAGGUGCAACCAAGCAAGAAGUGAAGAAGAUUUUCACCAUUGAAGACCUUGAGCUUCCAUCACUUUCACAAAAUCUGUAAACUCUUUCUAGUUUUGUUUUAAAUUUGUAUUUGAAAAAAGUAUGAGGAACUAAACUCCAUAGCUGGGGCUUAGGUUGAAGCCCUAAACAUGAAUACUCUAUUGUUUUGAUGCUUGAGUGUAUGAAUUUCUAGAUAUUGAUUCACUAAAAUAAUCUAUCCUUGAUGUAUGUUUUUCUUUGAUUGAUCACCUUUGAAAGCAUGCUUCUUGAGGUUAUUGGGAUUAUGUGUAUCCUCAUGUCUUCCUAAAAAACAAAUGGAUGAAGUAAGAAUCAUCCAUGUGAAUUGGUUUCUUGAAUGCCUAAUGUAAACAUCAUGCUAUUAGGGUUCUUGUGAUGUUCAUAUUCUCUUUGAACUUAAUGGGUUUUUUCUUGUAAUCAAUUCGAAGUACUAAGUACACCUAGAUUGAUUAUAGGGAAUGUGUAACACCCCGACUCCAAAUUUAAUCCCUUAUUUAAAUUAUUUAAGUGAAAUUACAAAUUUACCCUUGGGGUAGGGGUUUUGGUCAUUUUCUUACCCGGAAAGAUUUUGGGGUAGUAACUGGUAUUCUUCGGUAGGUCAUACUGAGAUGAGUCCGUAGACACGUGGUGGGCUCGAAUUGGAGUUGUAACGAGAGAGAUAUGGUCAAAAGAAACUCAGUGGCACAAUCGUAAUUAUUUUGAAAUGGGAUUUUUUAUAAAAAUCAGAUUUUUCCUUCUCUCUCUCUCUCUCUCUCUCUCUCUCUCUCUCUCUCUCUCUCUCUCUCUCUCUCUCCCUCCCGAUCGCGCCUCCUCUCUGUCAAAACAGCAGUGGCGGUUUUUCCGCCGCCACCGCUUCCUCCGGCCACCAUUCGAGGUGGUGUUGGUCCCAAAAUGACCGGCUGGUCUCCUGCUUCCAACCCCAGCCAAGCCCCGUUGCCAGCAGCCGCGAGUUUCGUAGGAAAUUGCAGAAAAUUCGGCGGUUUUUCUUAACUUUUCAAACCGCUCGUUCUCUCUCAUUUCUCCUCCAAAUUUGACGAGUAAGGUAUGAAUUUCUACCUAUUUUCCAUGCUCUAGCUGAUGGUUGGGUAGGAUUGCAUCAAUUUUGAGCCUAAGUCGUUCGAUUUUGGAUAUAGGGUUCGGCUGAUUUUGGGAUCUCGAUUCCGGCCACUUCCGGUCGGUUUUUGGGGCAGGUCCAAGAACAAAAAUGGCUCCAAAUAGGGUGUUAUACCUAGGGUAGGAGUUUGGAGCCGUGAUUUUGAGAUUUUCCGGCGAUGCGUAAUCGCUUUGGGCACCCAGCGCUGCCUGAGCAUGGGCGAGGGUGGUCGAGUUGCACUUUACUUCGAUGAGAUCCUUAGGUUGUCACGAGUGCGUAGGAUUUCGCGGAUCUCAAUUCGGACUUCGUUUGACUAUCGAACAGAUAUCGUCUAUUGCGUGUGAUCUGGGUUUGAUAGGUUGGGACAGUUGGAUGGUCUCAAAUUUAAUAUAUGUUAAUCUAGGUAUUUCUAGA
rnacentral:lncRNA from 1 species